CGAAGCACCCUCUCACUCUUUGAAUUUCAUUUAGACGCGCUACUCGUGUUUUCUUUCCCACUUAAAAAUAUUAAAAAAUAUAUCUAAAAAAAGGAAGCAAAUAACAUCCGGUGUCAGUACAUCUUUGUAUGUAAUUUUCUACUGAUAAUAUAGUUACCGUUAUUAAAAUUGUUGAAAUUAUUGAAAUUACACGAUGAUAAAUAAUUUAUAACCGCGCAGUGGUUUUUCCGUUUUGUGGCGUCGGUUUUUAUGUUUUUUAAGUAAAUGUUAAAAAGCAGCAUUACUCAUAAACAAUAAUAAUCAUUCGUCAACAAAUAAAACCGAAAUAAAAGUGAUUCCAAAAGAAAGCUUAACGGCAAAAAAGCGCAGCGAAAAAAGAAAUCCAGGCCCAGCAUCCUUCAGCCUGCCUCUUCUUCUUCUCCUUUGGCAUUCCUUUUCGCCGCGUGUGUAUUGGUGUGUCAUGUGUGCAUGAAAAUUGUGUUAAAUAAAUGUAUUAUUCCAGCUGCCAACAACAAAUUGAUGCCAAAAAAAUAUAAAAAAUUCACAACUGUGUGCGCGUGUGUGUUAAAUUAGCACUCCCGACUUGCUGUCUCUCACGCUCCAACUUUGUUUGUUAACUGUUACCCAAAAUGGGUGCGAGUGCGUGUGUUUCUCUUGGAAAUUAAUUUAAUAAAAAACACCCAAGUUGCGUGUUUUUUUCUGGAAGGAUAAUAAAUGGCAGACAAAUGAAGAGGCAGCACGGCAAACAACAAACAGGUCCGAAACACAGCAUUGUUGCAUCACCACUCUGCCUAUAAAAAUACAAGCGUAUAUAUGCAUAUCAAAAUUCUUAUUGUUUUAUAAUUCGAGCCAUUCCAAGCCAUGCAAUCGUCAAUAUGCCGUGUUUGCCUGUUGAGCAACCAAAAUAUGGUUAAUAUUUUCAGUGCCAAACACGAAUCCGGCAUCUGCAUUGCGAAAGUAAUAUCGAGGUGCACUGGCUAUGAAAUUGCGAAAGAGGAUUGCUUUCCGAAGACCAUUUGCGCGUCCUGCCUGCAGGAUGCGGAGAACGCAUUCGAUAUUAUUGAAACCUACGAGAGGAGCAACCAAUUCUUUUGCUUCCUUGAGGAUUUACGAGAAGAGGAACGGGAAUAUGGAGAUAUAAAUAUCGAAGAAGAGGAAUCAAAUGGAGGCAAGGGAAGCAAAGACCAAGAAAUGAAACUUGGAAAAGAUCAGCCCGAUUUGCCAGAGUUGAUCGAAAGUACGGAAGAGGAUUUAGAGGGAACUGAUGAUGAGGAGUUACAGGAAGAUGAUAGUGAUAAUGUCGAGCUAUAUGGUUCGAACAACGAGCCUAGUUUUGGCGAUGGACCGUCUAAGAGCGACGAUGGUUGUCCGGAGACUCUUCUUAAACGAAAGGGAACCCAGAAAAAUGAAAGACCUUUAGAGUGUUCGCUCUGCUCAAAAUCAUUUACCAAUAACUCACGACUUAAGACUCACUUGCUAACGCACACAGCAGAAAGACCUUUCAAGUGUUCCCAGUGCUCAAAAGCUUUUAAGCGGGAGUAUCAUCUAAGUAUGCACAUGACAGCUCACGGAGAAGAACGACCAUUCAAAUGUUCACAAUGCUCAAAGGAUUUCAAACUAAAAUCACAUCUAUUGAACCACAUGCAAGCGCACACAGGAGAACGAUCAUUUGAGUGUUCCCACUGCUCAAAAACAUUUAUCAAGAACUCACAACUUAAGACACACUUGCUGAAGCACACAGGAGAACGACCAUUUGAGUAUUCCCACUGCUCAAAAACAUUUAUCUGGAACUCAAAACUUAAGGCACACUUGCUAAAGCACACAGGAGAACGAGCAUUCAAGUGUACCCAAUGCCCAAAAGCUUUUAAGCAGAAACCUCAUCUUGCGGCGCACAUGCUAUGUCAUGACCUCAAUCGGCACUUGCGAGUCCGCGAAGAAGAACGACCUCAUAAGUGUACCCAGUGCUCGAAAUCAUUCACCUGGAACUCACAGCUUAAGACACACAUGCUAAAGCACACAGAAGAACGAGCUUUCAAGUGUUCCCAAUGUCCAAAAACUUUUAAGCAGAAGCCUCAUCUUAGCGUGCACAUGAUCACUCACGGAGGAGAACGACCAUUUAAGUGUUCACAAUGCUCAAGCGAUUUCAGACAGAACGCACAUCUUAUAACCCACAUGCGAACACACUCAGAAGAACGACCAUUUAAGUGUUCCCAUUGCCCUAAAACUUUUAAACUGAAAUUUGUUCUUCAGGUGCACUUGCGAGUCCACACAGGAGAACGACCACACAAAUGUUCUAUCUGCUCAAAAUCAUUCAAUCUGAACUCAACUCUGUUGAGACACAUGCAAAAACACACAGAAAAACAACGCUUUCAGUGUUCCCAGUGCCCCAAAGCAUUUAGACAGAGAACUGGUCUUCAAGGUCACAUGCGAACGCACAGGGCAGAACGACCAUAUAACUGUUCCCAAUGCACUUCAACAUUUAAACGAAGUUCAAAUCUUAAUACACACAUGCGAAAGCACACAGGAGAACGACCUUUUAAGUGUUCUCAUUGCUCAUCGAGCUUUAAAUUUAAACAUUGUCUUGUUCGCCACUCUAAAGUGCACUCAGAAGAAUGACCUUAAGUGUGAUUCCACUGCUGAACAUGUUUUAAUAUAAAUUCAAAUCUUCACGAGCACUUAAAAGACCUAGCACCACGAAAAAAGCAAAAAGAGGAGUGUUCCCAGAGCCCAAAGGAGUCCAAUAAACUCAGAAACACAGAUACCGCCUUGUUGGCCUAAAACAAUACAAACGUAUAAGCAUCUGUAUACAUUUAUUCACAUUGUUUUAUAAUUCUACAAUAUCUAAUAAUAAUUAAUUUUCGAGUCAUGAGUUCGACAAUAUGCCGUGUUUGCCUGAUAAACAACGAAACUAUGGUUAAUAUUUUCGAUGCAAAACACGAAUCUGGGAUCUCCAUUGCGAAUGUGAUAUCGAAGUGCACCGGAUACAAAGUUGAACUAGAGGA